rnacentral:rRNA from 1 species
GAUGAACGCUAGCUACAGGCUUAACACCUGCAAGUCGAGGGGUAACGAGAGGAAAGCUUGCUUUCCUUGUCGACGACCGGCGCACGGGUGAGUAACGCGUAUCCAACCUGCCCCCAACUAAGGAAUAACCUUGCGAAAGUAAGACUAAUACCUUAUAAUUUCCUCAGAUGUCAUCUGACGAGGAAUAAAGAUUUAUCGGUUGUGGAUGGGGAUGCGUCUGAUUAGCUUGUUGGCGGGGUAACGGCCCACCAAGGCAACGAUCAGUAGGGGUUCUGAGAGGAAGGUACCCCACAUUGGAACUGAGACACGGGCCAAACUCCUACGGGAGGCAGCAGUGAGGAAUAUUGGUCAAUGGGCGAAAGCCUGAACCAGCCAAGUAGCGUGCAGGAUGACGGCCCUAUGGGUUGUAAACUGCUUUUAUACAGGAAUAAAGUUAGCCACGUGUGGUUAUUUGUAGGUACUGUAUGAAUAAGGACCGGCUAAUUCCGUGCCAGCAGCCGCCGUAA